rnacentral:snRNA from 1 species
GUGCUUGCUUCAGCACAUAUACUAAAAUUAGAACUAUACAGAGAAGAAUAACAUGGCUCCUGCAUGAGUUGUCAUGAAGAUUCAUGAAGCAUUCCAUAUUUUU